rnacentral:rRNA from 1 species
GUAGCUAAAUGCGGAAGAGAUAAGUGCUGAAAGCAUCUAAGCACGAAACUUGCCCCGAGAUGAGUUCUCCCUGAGACUUUAAGUCUCCUGAAGGAACGUUGAAGACGACGACGUUGAUAGGUCGGGUGUGUAAGCGCAGCGAUGCGUUGAGCUAACCGAUACUAAUGAACCGUGAGGCUUAACCUU